rnacentral:rRNA from 1 species
CGGCCACAUUGGGACUGAGAUACGGCCCAGACUCCUACGGGAGGCAGCAGUGGGGAAUAUUGCACAAUGGGCGCAAGCCUGAUGCAGCGACGCCGCGUGGGGGAUGAAGGCCUUCGGGUUGUAAACUCCUUUCGCUAGGGACGAAGCUUUUUUGUGACGGUACCUAGAUAAGAAGCACCGGCUAACUACGUGCCAGCAGCCGCGGUAAUACGUAGGGUGCGAGCGUUGUCCGGAAUUACUGGGCGUAAAGGGCUCGUAGGUGGUUUGUCGCGUCGUCUGUGAAAUUCUGGGGCUUAACUCCGGGCGUGCAGGCGAUACGGGCAUAACUUGAGUGCUGUAGGGGUAACUGGAAUUCCUGGUGUAGCGGUGAAAUGCGCAGAUAUCAGGAGGAACACCGAUGGCGAAGGCAGGUUACUGGGCAGUUACUGACGCUGAGGAGCGAAAGCAUGGGUAGCGAACAGGAUUAGAUACCCUGGUAGUCCAUGCCGUAAACGGUGGGCGCUAGGUGUGAGGGUCUUUCUACGACUUUCGUGCCGUAGCUAACGCAUUAAGCGCCCCGCCUGGGGAGUACGGCCGCAAGGCUAAAACUCAAAGGAAUUGACGGGGGCCCGCACAAGCGGCGGAGCAUGUGGAUUAAUUCGAUGCAACGCGAAGAACCUUACCUGGGCUUGACAUACACUAGAUCGCUGCAGAGAUGUAGUUUCCCUUUGUGGUUGGUGUACAGGUGGUGCAUGGUUGUCGUCAGCUCGUGUCGUGAGAUGUUGGGUUAAGUCCCGCAACGAGCGCAACCCUUGUCUUAUGUUGCCAGCAUUUGGUUGGGGACUCAUGAGAGACUGCCGGGGUUAACUCGGAGGAAGGUGGGGAUGACGUCAAAUCAUCAUGCCCCUUAUGUCCAGGGCUUCACACAUGCUACAAUGGUCGGUACAACGCGCUGCGACACUGUGAGGUGGAGCGAAUCGCUGAAAGCCGGCCUUAGUUCGGAUUGGGGUCUGCAACUCGACCCCAUGAAGUCGGAGUCGCUAGUAAUCGCAGAUCAGCAAUGCUGCGGUGAAUACGUUCCCGGGCCUUGUACACACCGCCCGUCACGUCAUGAAAGUUGGUAACACCCGAAGCCGGUGGCCUAA